rnacentral:rRNA from 1 species
CUUUUGACCUAUUUCGUUGGUUUCUAGGACAAAAGUAAUGAUUAAUAGGGAUAGUUGGGGGCAUUCGUAUUUAAUUGUCAGAGGUGAAAUUCUUAGAUUUAUGAAAGACGAACUUCUGCGAAAGCAUUUGCCAAGGAUGUUUUCAUUAAUCAAGAACGAAAGUUAGGGGAUCGAAGACGAUCAGAUACCGUCGUAGUCUUAACCAUAAACUAUGCCGACUAGGGAUUGGCGGAUGUUCCAUUUACGACUCCUUCAGCACCUUUAGCGAAAGCAAAGUUUUUGGGUUCCGGGGGGAGUAUGGUCGCAAGGCUGAAACUUAAAGGAAUUGACGGAAGGGCACCACCAGGAGUGGAGCCUGCGGCUUAAUUUGACUCAACACGGGGAAACUCA